CGUCCCUCCUACAUUGACGAGUGAGCAACAGCUUCCGGGUUGCAUUUCCAUGGACUUGACGACUUCUCCACUUCCGCCCCGAGUCCAAUCGUUGGCAAGUUUUGUUCACACUUUGAGGCAAGGUGACUCUGCAUGUGCACUGCGAUUGACCGGCAAACCAGUUCAGGGUGUACCCCGCCUCCUGCCCCGUUGACAGCUGGGAUAGGCUCCAGCACUCCCCGCGACCCUCGUGAGGAUAAGCGGUGAAGAAAAUGGAUGGAUGGAGUUGCACAGGGAUUAAAGCACAGUGUUUGCUCCGUGAGGAUCAACGGAACCCCCAGAAGACAGCAACACCACUGGCUGCGGAUGCUUUCCAUGGUGUCACGGUCCUCCUGCGACGGCGGCACCUCGCGACUCAUCAGGUGCAGGCAGGGGAUGACCACCUCGUCCAUGAUGCCCACGCCCUCCUCCACCUUGC